GCCGCUGUGGCGGAAUUGGCAGACGCGCAGCGUUCAGGUCGCUGUAUCCGCAAGGGUGUACAGGUUCGACUCCUGCCAGCGGCA
rnacentral:tRNA from 1 species